rnacentral:rRNA from 1 species
GAUGAACGCUGGCGGCGUGCCUAAUACAUGCAAGUCGAGCGAACAGACGAGAGUGCUUGCACUCUCUGACGUUAGCGGCGGACGGGUGAGUAACACGUGGGUAACCUACCUAUAAGACUGGGAUAACUUCGGGAAACCGGAGCUAAUACCGGAUAAUAUUUAGCUUCGCAUGAAGCAAUAGUGAAAGACGGUUCUGCUGUCACUUAUAGAUGGACCCGCGGUGUAUUAGCUAGUUGGUGAGGUAACGGCUCACCAAGGCAACGAUACAUAGCCGACCUGAGAGGGUGAUCGGCCACACUGGAACUGAGACACGGCCCAGACUCCUACGGGAGGCAGCAGUAGGGAAUCUUCCGCAAUGGACGAAAGUCUGACGGAGCAAUGCCGCGUGAGUGAAGAAGGUUUUCGGAUCGUAAAACUCUGUUGCAAGGGAAGAACAAGUACGUUAGUAACUGAACGUACCUUGACGGUACCUUAACAGAAAGCCACGGCUAACUACGUG